UUGAAGGAUAAUUUUCUUCUCAUAAUGCUAGCUGUUUUUCGUCUUCAUUCGAAAUUUGUAUUAAAAAAUAUAAGAUCACAUCGUAAUAUUCUAUUUCCAUUUCCCUCAUGAUAAUGUUGAAGGCGGAAUAACGAUGCCCUGAGUUAACUGAAUAAUAUACCAUUGCAGCUGGCUGGGGGCGCGAAAAAUUACUACACUACACUGGCCUGGCCUGGCCUGGGUUUGCAUCACAGACAAGUGGGGAAUGAGGUGACAAAUCAAAGAUGAAGAGCUGCAGUUUGAGGCUGAAGAGGGAGUCGUGCCAGCAACAGAAGAGAUACAGAAAUCUACCAAUAUCUAUUGGUAUAGAGAAAUUGUGUGUGUGUGUGUGUGUGUGUGUGUGUGUGUGUGUGUGUGUGUGUGUGUGUGUGUGUGUGUGUGUGUGUGUGUGUGUGUGUGUGUGUGUGUGUGUGUGUGUGUACUAGUGCAUGAAAUGAAGUAGAGCGAGGAGGGGUAUAAGAGACAGAGUUAUGGGCCAGGUAAAAGAUGAGGUCUAGAAAUCGAAUAUUUCAUAGCUUCCUACAUGUUUUCUACAUUACAUUAAUGUAUGUUUGCUUAUGUUUCAUUAGAUCAAGAAGAGGUUGGAUUAUGGAGGGCUCAUAUUGUUUCACAUAAAAUUGCGUAGUUGAAUUAUUGAA